rnacentral:rRNA from 1 species
CCUACGGGUGGCAGCAGUGGGGAAUAUUGCACAAUGGGGGAAACCCUGAUGCAGCGACGCCGCGUGAGUGAAGAAGUAAUUCGUUAUGUAAAGCUCUAUCAGCAGGGAAGAAAAUGACGGUACCUGAGUAAGAAGCCCCGGCUAACUACGUUCCAGCAGCCGCGGUAAGACGUAGGGGGCAAGCGUUAUCCGGAUUUACUGGGUGUAAAGGGAGCGUAGACGGCAGUGCAAGUCUGGAGUGAAAGGCGGGGGCUCAACCCCCGGACUGCUCUGGAAACUGUACGGCUGGAGUGCAGUAGAGGUUAGUGGAAUUCCUAGUGUAGCGGUGGAAUGCGUAGAUAUUAGGAGGAACACCAGAGGCGAAGGCGGCUAACUGGACUGCAACUGACGCUGAGGCACGAAAGUGUGGGGAGCAAACAGGAUUAGAUACCCUUGUAGUC